UCAUUCCUUGCGCGAAGGUGGCAACAGCGGAGCAGACCGCCAGGCUAUUCAUAGACCACGUGUUCCGGGUGCACGGCUUACCACGGUCCAUUUUGUCCGACCGGGGUCGCCAAUUCAUUUCCAGUUUCUGGCAGAAGCUCCUGGGCAUCCUGAAUGUCAAGAUCAACUUAGCGUCGGCGAGACACCCGCAAACCAACGGCCAAGCGGAGAGGGUCAACGCCAUCAUGCAGCAGUACCUGCGCUGUUACGCCAAUCAGAAGCCGGCAACUUGGGUGGACUACUUACCGAUGGCCGAGUUUGCCUACAACAACACGAAGCACGCGUCAACGGGGGUGACACCGUUCUUCGCCAACAAUGGGCGACAUCCCAGAACAUUCCCGGCGUUGGAGACAACGACACAGGGGGAGUCGCAGGGAGCGGAACAUUUAGCAGCAGAAUUGCAGGAGGUCCACGAGGAGCUACGACGGCACUUGGAACUGGCUAAACACGCCUACAAAGUGCAGGCAGACAGGCACAGGAGGGCAGGAGAAGACAUCCAGGUGGGGGACUGGGUAUGGUUAGCAGCCCAGGCGGUGCCGGCCAAGUCGUUAGCUAAGAAGAAGCUAGGACACAAACAGCUAGGGCCAUACCAAGUUGAGGGCAGGAUCAAUCCCGUAGCUUUUCGGUUGACCCUCCCAGAGGAUUCCCGAAUGCACCCGGUCUUUCAUAGGUCGGUGCUUACACCCUACAAGGCCCCACACCGAUUUCAGGAGCCAGGGACGGCACCAGACCCACGUAGGAAGUCACCAGGGGGAAGUCACCGAGGACCCCGACACUCAACGAGGCCACGGAAAUUCUGGACUCGAGAUGGGGGGAGGAGGGAGUGGAAUACCUCCUCGCCAGGGAAGGUACCCCGGCCAGCGCCAACAGUUGGGUGCCAGAUUAUGCUCUGGAGGAACCUUUUCUUAAGGACGAGUUCCAUGCACUCUUCCCACACAGGCCCAUGCCAGAGGAGUAUUUUGACGACUGGCUUUUUACCCCCACACUUUCAGGCAGCACCUUCCGGGGGUUCUCCUCCGCAGAGGAGACCACGCCGCAAUCGAGCCCUCCAAGGGGAUCGUGCUCGGGGUAGACACGGACCGCUCUUAUUGGUGGGACGAUCAACCAGAAGUGGGGUGGCGAAGGGGGCCUUGGCAAGCAGCUUCGCCUGAAGUAACAGGGGGGGGAAGGGUUUGGAGGUGUUGGGGGAGGACCCUGGUUUCGAGCACUCCUACACUGAACUGGAAGCAGAGGAGAUCGACGUCGACGAACUGUAUCCAGCAUCUACCCCCGCUACAACGAAGCUCCCGGAACCUGCGCCCGAGCUGCGGGUGGGGGAUGGGGGGGGGCUUCGAGGGGGGGAUGGAUGUCAGGGGUUCAGGGAGAGAGGCACAGGGUAGGCAGGAGAUGGAGAGCGAGGGGGAGGAAUUCCAAGCCAGCGAGGAAGAGGAUGACAAUGACUCAAGAGAUUCCAUGAGUCUUUCCAGCGAAUCAGAGGAUUCCCAGAAGGGGGCGCCGGUGGUCAAGGCCAGGGGAGCCCCAGGGGGGAAGUGUCAGGAGCAGGGUGCUAGCGGAAGAUCCCAAAGUGGCAGCUGGGCGUCAGGACCAGCCUCCCCACCAGAGUGCAGCGAAGGGGGUGGAGUUUCCAGUGUGUCAGAGGAAGCAGCUCCAGCAGCAGAGAAAGGAGGGGGUUCAGAGCAAGCCGCCCUCCCGGACGGGGAGGGAGCAGUGAAGGGAGUAGUGUAACUGUCAAAAGGAAAGUUAGAGGUUUGGCGCGCGCGCCUAGUUCAAAUGUAGAGGCGCGCGGAAGUGCAGGGAGCCCGGAGGAGGGGCCAGGUCCCAAAGCCCGCAGGAGGGGGGAAGAGCAGUCUGGGGAUUCCGCAUCAGAGGAAUCCAGGAGGGGCGAAACCCCAGUGGGCAGAAGGACCCUGCGGAAAAGGAAGGAGAGAAAGAGGUGGAGCAGCGCAAGUCUCUUAAAUUGGUGCAGGGGAGGAACUGACUCAGAGGGGACUUCGGCGGUCUAGCGUAAAAGACGUAAGGCUGCGCGCCUAGGAUGUCAAGCAAACCAUGAACUGCAAUAAACACUUUUGUAUA
rnacentral:lncRNA from 1 species